CAGAAGUUGUGCUCCGAUAACACACAGAGCCACAACAUGGAUGGAGCAGGAAGGGAUCAUGCUCAGUGAAAUGAGCCAGAAAGAAAAAGGAAAAUGCUGGAGUCUGUUUUAGGUAAUAGCAAUGGAUUAGAUCUGAGCCCUAUCGAGAGACGCCUACUGUGAUCACUUCCAAAAUGGAAAGAAUGCAGUGUCGUGGAGGGGCAGACAGCGAGGGCUCUCCUUGCUGGCCAGGAAGCGCCUACGGAGGCCGG